UUAAUGUCCAGGAGAGUGGCCCUCCGCAUGGAGGGUUGACUAGAGAUUUAUCGGUAUGGGAUGAGCUUGCGUCCGAUUAGCUAGUUGGCGGGGCAACGGCCCACCAAGGCGACUAUCGGUAGCCGGCCUGAGAGGGUGAUCGGCCUCAUUGGGACUGAGAUACGGCCCAGACUCCUACGGGAGGCAGCAGUAGGGAAUAUUGCACAAUGGGGGAAACCCUGAUGCAGCAACGCCACGUGUGGGAAGAAGCAUUUCGGUGUGUAAACCACUGUCAUGAGGGAAUAAGGCCCGCCUCCGGGCGGGAUUGAAUGUACCUUGAGAGGAAGCACCGGCAAACUUCGUGCCAGCAGCCGCGGUAAUACGAGGGGUGCAAGCGUUGUUCGGAAUUACUGGACGUAAAGGGAGCGUAGGCGGAGAUUCAAGCGGAUUGUACAAUCCCGGGGCCCAACCCCGGCUCUGCAGUCCGAACUGGAUCUCUGGGAUAGUUCAGGGGCAGGCGGAAUUCCUGGUGUAGCGGUGGAAUGCGUAGAGAUCAGGAAGAACACCGAUGGCGAAGGCAGCCUGCUGGGGACUUAUCGUCGCUGAGGCUCGAAAGUGCGGGUAGCAAACAGGAUUAGAUACCCUGGUAGUCCGCACCGUAAACAAUGCAUACUGGGUGUCCGGGGGUUCCCCCGGGUACCGUAGCCAACGCGUUAAGUAUGCCGCCUGGGGAGUACGUACGCAAGUAUGAAACUCAAAGGAGUUGACGGGGGCCCGCACAAGCGGUGGAGCAUGUGGUUUAAUUCGAAGCAACGCGCAGAACCUUACCA
rnacentral:rRNA from 1 species